UGAGAUGUUGGGUUAAGUCCCGCAACGAGCGCAACCCUUGUUCUGUGUUGCCAGCAUGCCCUUCGGGGUGAUGGGGACUCACAGGAGACCGCCGGGGUCAACUCGGAGGAAGGUGGGGACGACGUCAAGUCAUCAUGCCCCUUAUGUCUUGGGCUGCACACGUGCUACAAUGGCCGGUACAAUGAGCUGCGAUACCGUGAGGUGGAGCGAAUCUCAAAAAGCCGGUCUCAGUUCGGAUUGGGGUCUGCAACUCGACCCCAUGAAGUCGGAGUCGCUAGUAAUCGCAGAUCAGCAUUGCUGCGGUGAAUACGUUCCCGGGCCUUGUACACACCGCCCGUU
rnacentral:rRNA from 1 species